rnacentral:rRNA from 1 species
GACGAACCGUGCGAACGUUGUUCGGAAUCACUGGGCUUAAAGGGCGCGUAGGCGGACCAUCAAGUCGGGGGUGAAAUCUUUCAGCCCAACUGGAAAAGGGCUUCCGAUACUGGUGGUCUCGAGGGAGGUAGGGGUCGAGGGAACUGGUGGUGGAGCGGUGAAAUGCGUAGAUAUCACUAGGAACGCCGGUGGCGAAAGCGCUCGACUGGACCUCUUCUGACGCUGAGGCGCGAAAGCCAGGGGAGCAAACGGG